GACGAACCGUGCAAACGUUGUUCGGAAUCACUGGGCUUAAAGGGCGCGUAGGCUGUUCGCUAAGUCGUGGGUGAAAUCUUUCGGCUCAACCGGAAAAUUGCCUGCGAUACUGGCGAGCUCGAGGGUGGUAGGGGCGAUCGGAACUGCCAGUGGAGCGGUGAAAUGCGUUGAUAUUGGCAGGAACGCCGGUGGCGAAAGCGGAUCGCUGGAUCACUCCUGACGCUGAGGCGCGAAAGCUAGGGGAGCAAACGGG
rnacentral:rRNA from 1 species